rnacentral:misc_RNA from 1 species
UUUGAUUUUUAGUUGAAAUUUAUAUUUAGCUGUAGAAUUUUGUGGGUGUUCUUCAAUGGAGUUAUCGUGUUCUUCUCCGCUUUCUGUCAACUCUACUAUCAGUUUCAAUCGAUAUGUUUCUGUGUACCCUCAUAGGAGAUGUCAAAGUGUUCUCUCCCUUUUUCCAUAUUAUCCUUCUUCUUCUUCUCAUGUUGCUACCACAGCUACUGCUUCUGCUCCUUGUAGUACUAGCAGUUCUAGUUCGACCCUUUUUGGGAUUUCCCUUUCUCAUCGACCCAGCAGUUCCGUUCAUCGUAAAAUCAAGCGUUCUAUGUAUAUUGUGUCGGGGGUGUUCGAGAGAUUUACUGAGAGAUCGAUUAAAGCUGUGAUGUUCUCCCAGAAGGAAGCAAAGGCUUUGGGUAAAGAUAUGGUGAGCACCCAACACCUUUUACUUGGUCUUAUCGCGGAGGAUCGGAGUCCUGGUGGGUUUCUUGGUUCUCGAAUAACUAUUGAUAAGGCCCGUGAAGCUGUUCGUAGCAUAUGGCUUGGUGACUCAGAGGACGAUACAACAAAAUUGGGUUCUCAGGACUCCAGUUCAGCUACCUCAGCUACUGAUGUGGCCUUUUCUUCAAGUACCAAGCGGGUUUUUGAGGCUGCGGUUGAGUAUUCAAGGACCAUGGGGUAUAAUUAUAUUGCUCCUGAGCAUAUUGCUAUUGGUUUGUUUACUGUUGAUGAUGGCAGCGCUGGUCGUGUGCUCAAGAGGUUAGGAGCAAAUGUAAAUCGUCUGGCAGCUGAGGCAGUUUCCAGGCUUCAAGGAGAGCUUGCUAAAGAUGGUAGAGACCCAAUUUCGUUCAAAAGAUCACGUGAGAAAUCCUUUCCUGGAAAAAUAACUAUUGACAGAUCUGCUGAGAAAGCAAAAGAGAAAAACGCUCUGGAGCAAUUUUGUGUAGAUCUUACUGCCCGUGCAAGUGAGGGCCUUAUAGACCCAGUAAUUGGUAGGGAGACUGAAGUUCAGAGAAUGAUCGAGAUACUCUGCCGUCGAACCAAAAACAAUCCUAUUCUGCUUGGUCAAGCUGGAGUUGGGAAAACAGCGAUAGCUGAAGGGCUUGCUAUAAACAUUGCUGAAGGAAAUAUUCCUGCGUUCUUAAUGAAAAAACGGGUAAUGUCUUUAGACAUUGGCCUAUUGAUUUCAGGUGCAAAGGAGAGGGGUGAACUAGAGGCGCGUGUGACUACAUUAAUUAAGGAGGUAAAAGAGUCAGGCCAUAUCAUUCUAUUCAUAGAUGAGGUCCACACCCUUGUUGGUGCUGGCACAGUUGGACGGGGAAAUAAGGGCUCUGGUCUUGACAUUGCUAAUUUGCUAAAACCAACACUUGGCCGUGGUGAACUGCAGUGUAUUGCAUCUACCACCAUGGAUGAGUUCAGAUUGCAUAUUGAGAAAGACAAGGCCUUUGCUCGAAGGUUCCAGCCCAUCUUGGUUAAUGAACCAAGUCAGGCGGAUGCUGUCCAGAUACUAUUGGGGUUGCGUGAAAAAUAUGAGUCGCAUCAUAAGUGUAGGUACAGUCUGGAAGCCAUCAAUGCUGCUGUGGAACUAUCAUCAAGAUAUAUACCGGAUAG